rnacentral:rRNA from 1 species
CGCCAGACUCCUACGGGAGGCAGCAGUGAGGAAUAUUGGUCAAUGGGCUUACGCCUGAACCAGCCAAGUCGCGUGAGGGAAGACUGCCCUAUGGGUUGUAAACCUCUUUUGUCAGGGAGCAACGCCGGCUACGUGUAGCCGGACUGAGAGUACCUGAAGAAAAAGCAUCGGCUAACUCCGUGCCAGCAGCCGCGGUAAUACGAAGGGGGCAAGCGUUGUUCGGAAUUACUGGGCGUAAAGGGAGUGUAGGCGGUUUAGUAAGAUAGUGGUGAAAUCCCAGGGCUUAACUUUGGAAUUGCCAUUAUAACUAUUAGACUAGAAUUACAGAGAGGAUAGUGGAAUACCCAGUGUAGAGGUGAAAUUCGUAGAUAUUGGGUAGAACACCAGUGGCGAAGGCGACUAUCUGGCUGUACAUUGACGCUGAGGCUCGAAAGCAUGGGGAUCAAACAGGAUUAGAUACCCCAGUA